AGGAGAUGCAGGCAAGGAGCACUUCGAGGAGCCCAACCUUGCCGGCUAGAGCUCCAACGCCAUAUGAUACGGAUUGAACUGCGCGACGUGGGUCUAAACUGCAUUACGUGGCAGUGUAAAUCCAGAAUUUGCUGACUGGUACCUUUGACGGGGCUUGUUUCGGAGUGAAGUCCUGGGAGGAAGGAGAGGAGAAAAACACCCAGAAAGGACAGAAGAGCGACUUAAGACGGAUGGCAGAGAAGGGCGAAGAUGGGAAUCAAAUUGCAAGCAAAGGAAGCGAAUUGGAAGCAAAGGAGGACAGCUAAGUGGAUUAGAUUGGCCUGAAGGCACACAACAACAACAACAACAACAACAACAACAACAACAACAACAAGAUAUGCAUAUCCCAAUGUGUAUUUCCAUUGUUCCAGCAGCUGUGACUUCAGGUAAAGUGGGCACAACACUUUCAACUCUGACUGCUAGCUAAAUUUGUUUGAAGACUGAGGCAAACUAUGUGAUGUUCCAGUCCAGUUU
rnacentral:lncRNA from 11 species